rnacentral:lncRNA from 1 species
CUCCUACAAACUCCUCUUAAGCACAGAAGAGGUUGAGAGGAAGGCUUGCCAAGCAAGGGUGUUCUCUCCGCAGUCUGCCUCUUGCAGGCUGACAAAGCAGCCGAGUUACAAGAGAGGAGGGCUCUUUGCCCCUGGAAGUCUUUAGAGUGGGGCUCAGUUUCCUUCUGUAUGAGCCCUCCCGCUAUGUUCUCUGUCGACACAGGCAGGCAUGGGGCAACCCUUAGGCUCCACAAAAAUAACCUAAUAACAGCUUGGCCAGAGCGCCCCAUCUUUCCCGAGCCCCACAAAGAGACUUGGAUGAUGAAGCAACCACUUGCCACCAAAACAGCAGUUACCGCCCCCCACCCCCCCACCCCAGGAGCUCAGGAUCAUCGACAAGCUGCCUGCUAGGGACUUGAAAUAGGAAGAAAAAAACAACAACCCCACAGAACUACAAAAAAGAGAGAACAGACAAAGAGGACUGUUGUAAAAAUAAGAAGCUUUGAAGAAUCUGAAGCAGAUGUUAUGCUGGGAGCUAGUAUGUAUUAUAUACCACCUGUGCCCACUUAAUUCCAUCCAAAAUCAUUUCCUCCACAGUUACCAUGAAGAGAGAUGGAAAUUCAAGGAUCUAAAAAUAUUUGGUAGAAGGAAAGGGAGGAAGAAAGUGAAAGGCUGGCAGACCUCCCCAUCAGGGAAUGAAGAGAAGCAAGAGGAAGUUAAAAAAUAUAUAUAUGGAACGUUGGAUCCCCUCCCCCCAAUUUAUGUAUAUACUAUUUUCUACACACUUUUAAAAUAAAGGCUCUUAAAAUUAAAAUCAUAAAUGAGUGUAAAGUAAGAAAAGUUAAGUAUCCCUGCUCUUCACCCCUUCCUACUUCAUUCUCAAUGGGUAAUCUCUGAUAACAAUUUAAUGCAACAUUGUAACUAUCUUUAUGCAUUUAUCUAUCUACUUAUAUAUUUUAACUCAUUUAAUCCUCACAAUAACUCUGAAGUGGUACAAUUAUUACCCCCGUUUUUCAAUACCAAAAGUGAGGACUGUAUGUGACAUAAUUUGCCCCAAAUCUCAAUUUACUGAGCAGUACGUCUAGCAUUUUUAACUCAGUUUGACU